rnacentral:rRNA from 1 species
UGGCAAACGGGUGAGUAACACGUGGGUGACCUGCCUUCGAGUGGGGGAUAACGUCCCGAAAGGGACGCUAAUACCGCAUGACAUCCUGCCUUUGAACAGGUGGAGAUCAAAGCUGGGGAUCGCAAGACCUAGCGCUCAAAGAGGGGCCCGCGCCUGAUUAGCUAGUUGGUGGGGUAACGGCUCACCAAGGCGACGAUCAGUAUCCGGCCUGAGAGGGCGGACGGACACACUGGGACUGAGACACGGCCCAGACUCCUACGGGAGGCAGCAGUGGGGAAUUGUUCGCAAUGGG